GACCCGAUGGCGUAUCUGGUAUCGCAUCGCACACCCGUAAGAGAACACUUCUGCUUUUCCCGCGAGGAUCCCUGUUCGAUUCAGGGUCGGGUCA